rnacentral:lncRNA from 1 species
UUAAAUCUAUAAAUAGAGGGAGUAACCCUUAUUCUUGUAAUGAAGUGAAUAGAACAUUCAUAACAUUGUAUUCACAGUAUUUUGCAGUUACAAAGUGAAUAAGAAAUUUUCCACAGUUUGUGGGCAGAGAGAUACUCUGCAGAAUUUUAAUUCUUCUUCUCCUUCACCGUUCUUUACUUUUUUUCUUUCUCCAUUGUUCUUCUCU